rnacentral:rRNA from 1 species
CCUACGGGCGGCAGCAGUGAGGAAUAUUGGUCAAUGGACGAGAGUCUGAACCAGCCAAGUAGCGUGAAGGAUGACUGCCCUAUGGGUUGUAAACUUCUUUUAUAUGGGAAUAAAAUGUUCCACGUGUGGCAUUUUGUAUGUACCUUAUGAAUAAGGAUCGGCUAACUCCGUGCCAGCAGCCGCGUUAAUACGGAGGAUCCGAGCUUUAUCCGGAUUUAUUGGGUUUAACGGGGGCGUAGGUGGGUUGUUAAGUCAGUUGGGAAAGUGUGCGGCUAAACCGUAAAAUUGCAGUUGAUACUGGCAGUCUUGAGUACAGUAGAGGUGGGUGGAAUUCGUGGUGUAGCGGUGAAAUGCUUAGAGAUCACGAAGAACUCCGAUUGCGAAGGCAGUUCACUGGACUGCAACUGACACUGAGGCUCGAAAGUGUGGGUAUCAAACAGGAUUAGAUACCCCUGUAGUC